GGGGGCUCUAGUACAUAUAAUAAUGUAUAGGGAACGUUUAUUAGAGAACCAGCGCAUAUAUGCACUGUGCAAGGACUUAUUUAACUAUUUGACCUGAACAAUAAAAAGCUUUUCUUAAAAAUGGCUAAACGACACGAGGAAUAAACUCGCUACGUUUCUAUUUUCCCCAUGCUUUACUGCCGUCCAACAAAAAUGACGUAACAAGCGAUAUAAAACCGACGUCGCUGCAUUAUGACGUCCUUCGUGGAGACGGUUCCGUAGCGGUAGCCUUUCCACCUCGACAUGAGAGCCAAGUGGAGAAAGAAGCGCAUGCGCAGGCUGAAGCGCAAAAGGAGAAAGAUGAGGCAAAGGUCCAAGUAAGCCGUCCCCUCCGCCAUGGCUGCGACAUCACAUGUUGCCAGGAACCAGACUGGUGAGCGCAGCCGGAGACUCGGGACUUCCAUGUGUCUGGUGUGAGGCCAGUUGCAUCCACCACACCCAACCAGAGGCAUCGAAGCAGCAGCUGACAGAAGACUGAUGUUGGAGAAGUGUUUCAACACCCGUCGGAUGUCAGGCUUUUCCUCUGGCACGUUCUGGACUCUUUUGCUUUUAAUUCCUCAACUUUUGUCAUUCGUUUUUGUUUAUACUGUGAUUAAAGGUUUUGGUUUAUAAAAUGAA
ensembl:lncRNA